rnacentral:sRNA from 1 species
UGGAAAAGCAUUCAAUAGCAUAUUGGGGCUUUUACACUUUUUAAAAUGUAAAAUCAGGAACAAAAAAAAAUCUCUCAAUAAAAAAGAAUGUUUCAUUCUUUUGUGUGUGUGUGUGUGUGUGUGUGUGUGUGUGCGCGCGCAUGUGGUACUGGGGACUGAACCCAGGGCCUUGUUCAU